GACGUAGGGCGCGAGCGUUGUCCGGAUUUAUUGGGCGUAAAGAGCUCGUAGGCGGCUUGUCGCGUCGAAUGUGAAAACCUGCAGCUCAACUGCAGGCUUGCGGUCGAUACGGGCAGGCUAGAGUUCGGUAGGGGAGACUGGAAUUCCUGGUGUAGCGGUGAAAUGCGCAGAUAUCAGGAGGAACACCGGUGGCGAAGGCGGGUCUCUGGGCCGAUACUGACGUGAGGAGCGAAAGCGUGGGGAGCGAACAGG
rnacentral:rRNA from 1 species